rnacentral:rRNA from 1 species
GACGAACGCUGGCGGCGUGCUUAACACAUGCAAGUCGAACGGAAAGGCCCUGCUUUUGUGGGGUGCUCGAGUGGCGAACGGGUGAGUAACGCGUGAGUAACCUGCCCUUGACUUUGGGAUAACUUCAGGAAACUGGGGCUAAUACAGGAUAGGAGCUCCUGCUGCAUGGUGGGGGAUGGAAAGUUUCGGCGGUUGGGGAUGGACUCGCGGCUUAUCAGCUUGUUGGUGGGGUAGUGGCUUACCAAGGCUUUGACGGGUAGCCGGCCUGAGAGGGUGACCGGCCACAUUGGGCCUGAGAUACGGCCCAGACUCCUACGGUAGGCAGCAGUGGGGAAUAUUGCACAAUGGGCGGAAGCCUGAUGCAGCAACGCCGCGUGCGUGAUGACGGCCUUCGGGUUGUAAACCGCUUUCGCCUGUGACGAAGCGUGAGUGACGGUAAUGGGUAAAGAAGCACCGGCUAACUACGUG